rnacentral:rRNA from 1 species
UACGUAGGGUGCGAGCGUUGUCCGGAAUUAUUGGGCGUAAAGAGCUCGUAGGCGGUGUGUCACGUCGGCCGUGAAAACCUGCAGCUUAACUGUGGGCGUGCGGUCGAUACGGGCAUCACUGGAGUUCGGCAGGGGAGACUGGAAUUCCUGGUGUAGCGGUGAAAUGCGCAGAUAUCAGGAGGAACACCGGUGGCGAAGGCGGGUCUCUGGGCCGAUACUGACGCUGAGGAGCGAAAGCGUUGGGGAGCAAACAGGG